UCCUCCAUAGCUCAGUUGGCAGAGCAUUCGACUGUUAAUCGAAAGUUCACUGGUUCGAGCUCAGUCGGAGGAG
rnacentral:tRNA from 2 species